rnacentral:lncRNA from 1 species
GCACUCGCUGGAAAGCGGCUCCGAGCCAGGGGCUAUUGCAAAGCCAGGGUGCGCUACCGGACGGAGAGGGGAGAGCCCUGAGCAGAGUGAGCAACAUCGCAGCCAAGGCGGAGGCCGAAGAGGGGCGCCAGGCACCAAUCUCCGCGUUGCCUCAGCCCCGGAGGCGCCCCAGAGCGCUUCUUGUCCCAGCAGAGCCACUCUGCCUGCGCCUGCCUCUCAGUGUCUCCAACUUUGCGCUGGAAGAAAAACUUCCCGCGCGCCGGCAGAACUGCAGCGCCUCCUUUUAGUGACUCCGGGAGCUUCGGCUGUAGCCGGCUCUGCGCGCCCUUCCAACGAAUAAUAGAAAUUGUUAAUUUUAACAAUCCAGAGCAGGCCAACGAGGCUUUGCUCUCCCGACCCGAACUAAAGGUCCCUCGCUCCGUGCGCUGCUACGAGCGGUGUCUCCUGGGGCUCCAAUGCAGCGAGCUGUGCCCGAGGGGUUCGGAAGGCGCAAGCUGGGCAGCGACAU